rnacentral:misc_RNA from 1 species
AAGUCGUAACAAGGUUUCCGUAGGUGAACCUGCGGAAGGAUCAUUACUGAAAAGUUCUUUUUAGAACCUAUCAAUACCCCAUUGUUUACCUUACCACGUUGCUUCCACUGGACAGGCCCAGUCUUCUUACGGAGACUAGCCCUCUGGCAUCGACUUCAAAAAUCGAUUUGCUGGGGAGUGCCGGUGGAUAGCCAUCAAACAAAAAAACUUUUUAAAUCAGCUUUAUAUCGUCUGAACAACUGUUUUAUAACAAAAACAUUAUAAAACUUUCAACAACGGAUCUCUAGGCUCUU